rnacentral:rRNA from 1 species
GACGAACGCUGGCGGCGUGCUUAACACAUGCAAGUCAAGGGGGCCCAGCAAUGGGCAACCGGCGAACGGGUGCGUAACACGUGAGCAACCUACCGAACUGUGGGGGAUAGCCGGCCUAACGGCCGAGUAAUACCGCAUACGCUCUCAGUGAGGCAUUUCAUUGAGAGGAAACCUACGGGACAGAUCGAGGGGCUCGCGGCCUAUCAGCUAGUUGGCGAGGUAACGGCUCACCAAGGCAACGACGGGUAGCUGGUCUGAGAGGAUGGCCAGCCACAUUGGGACUGAGAUACGGCCCAGACUCCUACGGGAGGCAGCAGUGGGGAAUCUUGCGCAAUGGCCUAACGGCUGACGCAGCGACGCCGCGUGUGGGAUGAAGCUCUUCGGAGUGGUAAACCACUGUUGCCCCGGGACGAACAGCUCGAUUAGUCGAGCCUGACGGUACCGGGUGAGGAAGCACCGGCUAACU